rnacentral:lncRNA from 1 species
UAAUUUCAUUUAUUAAUAUUUUUCAUACCGAGCCAGUUAGACCGGUUACAUAAAUAAUAUUUUAAUUUUCUUAACCUUUCACAGUUUUAGUUUAUUCCCCCAAAUAGAUCUCAGACCCAUCCUCGAAAGCUUAAACCAUUCUCUGCAUCCCAACCAUCUCCGAUCCAUCCUCUCCCACCGGCCACUAUCACUGAUCCAUCUUCUGACUCCUCUUCAAUAGUUUCUCGUUUCUCGUUUCUCAUUUCUCGUUUCUCUUCAAAGGAUUCAGUUGUCUCUUCACUCGCCAGUCGCCGAAUCCAAAAAUUUCUGAGGUAAUUUUUCUACCAAUUGGGCUCGGAUGGUAUAUAAACUGAGUUUAUUUUGAGCUUUAGUCAAUGAAUUUAUCUCUACGUAUGUGGAUUUGUCUAUGUAUGGGUGUUUACUGUUUAGGGCUUUAUUUUUAUUUUGUAGUAGUGCUUGAUGAUUUAUAGUUUUUGAUGAUAUUUUCAUAUUUUGGUUAUAUUCUUUGCCCUCGAGUAUGGCCAUUAUAGUUGUUAUUGGUACAAUUAUAUGUUAUGUUUAUACUUCUUCUUCUUCUUCAUGUGGUUGUGCUUUCGUAUCUGCUAUUAUGAAAUUUGAUUAUAAAGCUAUAUAGGUUUUGCUUAUCAAUUAAUUAUCUUCUUUAUUCAAUUGUUUGGAAAGUUGAUACUCACUCAGUUCCAAAAUACAAAAUUGACAUCAUCCAUUUAAUUUUUGAAAAUAAUAAACCUUUUGAAUAGUUUGUAAUAUUCCUAAUUAUAUUGAUUAAAUUUAAACGGAUUUAUACCAAUUUUGAAUUUAAAAAUGUUUCAUAGAUGGAUUUAAAGAAAGUAUCCUUGCCGUAUGGUUCUUGGCCGUAACUCUUGCCUUAUGGUUUCCAUGAGGUGGAAGGGUUCGAUUAUUUCAAUUCUUGGGUGUGUGAGUGUGGUGUGUGGGUGUGUGGAAAUUUGUUAAAAAAAAGAAAAAAAGAAAAAAAAGCAUCCUCAUCUGACAAAAGUUCGUGAAAACAUUACUUAGCCGUGAAGUACUAAUAAUAUAAAUAUUAGUACUUUUUAUGGUCCCUUUUCCAAGUUUCAGAUGCUAGCUGGAACUGUUUUGAACCUAGAUUUAUUUGCAUUCAUUUGUUCAGUUGAGGACUAAAAGAUUUUUCAGAUGAGUAAAUCUUUGAAAAUUUUGAGCUUAAAUGUGGUUGCUUUAUGGAUGGCCAAUCGAUCAUAUUUACCCAACAUCUGAUGCUGCCUUGAUGCACAACUACGCGAGCUAAUUUCCGAUUGCUUAAUGUCAUUAGAGUUUUGAUAAAAGUACCACUCAGACCCUUUGUUUGUUGGUUUAGUGGUGUCUAAUUGCAUUUGCUAGAACAGCACUACAGUUUCAGCUGAUGGUUCUUGCUCAAAUGUAAAAGGAUAAUUUCCAAGCAUAUAAUUUUUCUUUUGUAUUCCUUAACUAUUUUAUAUAUGCUUGUGCUCCAUCAUAGCAAGAUGAUUGCACUUCACAUAAGAGUAUUUGAUUUUCUUUAUAUUAGUGAGCUCUAAAGAUAAAUUGAAUUCUUGGCAGGGGAGUCCUAACAUCAUUAUAUUAUUGUUCUUUGACAGGUGUCUUUCCCUGAAAAGUUGGCUUCUAGAUGAUGUUGGGUGCAUUUUCUGUUUGCAUUUUCACUAAUCAGGCAACAACAUCAAAUCAUGUAAUUAUCCCCUUAAACUCAAUGUUGAUGCAUCUAAAUGCAGUACUCUUUUUAUGACUUGUGUUGAAUCCUUUUAAAUAUAUGUGUUAUAAAAUCAAGCUUGUUUCUUUAUGUAACUAAGUUUGGAGUAGUUUGGGUAUCUUUUAUUCAUUCGACCCUGUUGUUGGUUACACAUACUACCCAUUUCUUGGAUCAGAUACAUAGGUAUCAGCUUGACAUUUGUUGUCCUCACAUUAUUUCAACUCUGUUCUGAAACUUUACAAACAAUUUUCAGCUCUAAAUUUACAUGAAUAAUAUCAAAAUGUAGUUCCGUGAUAGCUUGAUGAUAGUUCUAGUAAUGCACUUGUGGGAAGGUGUAAUAUCUGCAUAAUAGGAUUUAUAUAGGAACUGAUAUUUCUACACGUGUUUUAACAUAAUCUUUUCUCACCUGAUCAUAAAGUAGGUCCCACAUUCAUGUGAAAGAUAACCAUAUGAAAAUAUUAAAAACAUACGUCUAAAUAAUUCAAGUCAAAAAAUGAGAUACGUUAGUCUACACUUUGGAGUAAUGCUACACUGACAAAAGAUUACUACAAAAAAGUGGAUACAAAAUGAUGUGUCACACCACCAUACAUGAGUAGCUCCAAUAGUUAUAACCAAUGACUAUUAUACACAUCACUUUGUAUUCUCAUUUUGUAUCCAAUCCUUUUUCACCAAAAUAUUAUUGCGACACUUGUAGUGGAUAGUUUGUUUUCAACAGUCUUCUGAACUGAGCGCUUGUACAUUUGGAAGGUUAAGGUACCUUGUCUUGAAUAGUAAGUUAUGAAUAAUUCAAGAAAAUUGAAAUCUUGUGCUCAUCUUCUCUUUGCUCUUCUAUUCUUUUUUAUACUUUCUUUCUUUUUGGUUUUUUAAAAUUAAUAUUUGAUUGCUCAAAAUAACAUGAUCAAUAAUGUAAAGUUCUUAACUGCAUUACUUAUAAUUCAUGCAUAUUAAAACACAUCAAUAUAACCUCUACUUUUAGAAUCUUUCUAAUACUUUCCAGUAAUAUAUAAUUUGUGCAUAGUAAAACACUUCAAUAUAAGCUAUAUUUUAAAAAUAUUUCUAAACUUUUCGAAUGAUAUAUGAUUUUAAAGAACUUUUGUGUUCAUUGUUAACACGUUCACAAGCUUCAAAACAUGAAACAAAUCACCUACUAUCAAAUAACUUGAACCACUAAAGUUCCAACUUCCAAGAAAGCAAGUAAAAAAGAAGAAGAUAAAACUAAAGAAAUAACUCUAUCAACCAAUAAAAGUAGGGAGGAUAAAUUUUAUAACUUAAUCAAAGUAUUUCACUGGAAACUACUUCACUGACAUAUGCAUUUCCCUAUGAAAGUUAUAAGAAAAAUACAUAGCUAAUUUCCAUUAUGUGCACACUACUAGUUUAGGACUAAAAAAGAAACAUAUGAGGGGCAACAUAGCUACCACCGGAAGAUGAUCAAAAUGUACUAUAAAUAGAAAGAUGUCUAAAAAGUGAUCUAACAUCACAUAGAAAACUGGAACAUGCCUCUUCCACACCAGAGCCCAAAAUUAGUUCAAUCAUCAUCUUCAUCCUACAAAACAGAAAUACUAAACUAAUCACUAAAACCAACCACAUACAUCUGAAACAUAAUUAAAAAGUGAAUAUUUAAAUUUCACAGAAACCUCUUCACUUCCCUCUUCAUCUUCCUCAUCAUUGACUUCAGAUUUAGACUUGUCAGAUUCCUCAUCAUCGUUACCUCCAACCUAAAUUCAUUCAAUGUUACAUUUUGUUCAAAACUAUGAUAAAUAAAAAUGUUUCAUACAAAAACUUAGAAAAAUCAUUACCAGUUUCUUGUUAUAGCUUUGAAGUUUCUUUUCAUACUCUUUCUUCCUUUGUUCUGCAUGUGCUACAAAUGGAGCCUUAUCCUAUAUUUAUCCAGAUAAUCACAAAUAAAUUAUUGGCACUGCUUUCUUCAAUAAUUUGCAACAUAUUAAUAUGUAGCUGCACAUUAUAUCCAAUCAAAGUAUGCAACUUUAAUUCCAAACUUAAUUACUUACAUCAUCUGACAUUGACCUCAGCUUAUCUCCACCAGCCUUACAAAUCUAUUUUUCAGUUAAUUUAAUGAUUAAAAACACAGUUAAUUACAAUAAUAAUAUACAAAUGCUAACAAAAAAAAUGAACACAAAAAUUAAAAUAACCAAAUGACUCACAACAGUCUUGUUUGAUUACUAAGAGGAGAUCAUCUUCCUCCUUUGAGCUCCAUCUCUUUCUAUGCUCUCUAUUUUCUCUUGAUGGCCUCUGUUCGUUCUGUCUCACUCUCUCGCAUAGCUUCAGCCAACUCAGAUUUGGAUCAGCUCGAUGGUACCAAACUACCAAUGCCAACAGUAUUGAAUCGAGGAAUGUGUCUUGCUCUAGGGUGCCACGGGAGGUCAGUUUCACUGGCCUGAUUGAUCAAGCUCUGUAAAAUGAGUUCGGCGAGGUGAUCCAAUUUAAGGUUCCUCCUAAAUCUGACCUCUUACUGUUUACAAUUUUUGUAUCCUGAAACUAUAAAAGAUCCACGGAGCUGAAUGUAUUUGAAAUCCUUCUGCAAGGUUGAAAUACAAUUUCUGGACAUGCUUUUGAGGAUGGAUUAUCAAGUCAGAUGACCUUGUGAUAAAGAUGGUCCAUGUAAUCUGUAGAAAAUAAGAACCUGAUUUUGGGAUAAUGAUUGCUUGAUUCAUUCUUCUCAAUUACAUUGGCUUAUAUACACAAGUAUCCUAUUUUACAGUGUACAUUAGUACCACGUAAUAACUCUAUUGUCUUUUUCUGCUUAUGAGCAAUACAGUGUACAUUAGUACCACGUAGCAACUCUAUUGUCUUUGUGUAUUGAUUUGGGCACUAAGUGCUUCUGGUGACCUAUUUGCUUCAUUUUUUUGACUUUGCUAUUAUUUUUAAAUAUGUGCAGGAAGACUGCUUCUACGACCUACCUUAUAAUACUUGGUAUCAAAUUUUUGUGCUAUGUUUACGGAAGAGAAGGGACAAAAUUUUGAAGUGUACUCUCUCUAUAUAUGUAGAUAUAUACUUUGAUUGAAGAACUGUGGUAGCUUUAGAUGGUAAAUUGUAAAGAUAAUGAAUGAUUACGUAGUGGAUGAUUUUUUUAAGUUACUAAUAUUUUAGUUUUUUAUAUUUUUGUCAUUAUUUGCUAUGGGGAUAUUGAGCCAGCUAGGUACACAAAAAGAAUGUUAAAUUUUGAUUUGGCAACAAUAUAAUUCGUUAGCAAAACAUUGAACAAGUUUUAAUAUAGCAAC